UUCACUGUAGUAAUUUAUUUUAUUUUUUAAUAAUGAAAGUCUUCAUAAAUUUGACAUAUGACUUUUGGCUACUUCACUUAAGAGUGAGUGUGUAUGUUGCAGAUUCAUGUGUGUGGUUUGCAUUUUUUUGAGGUUUUGGUUUGUUCUUAUUUUUCUUAUUUCACAUUUAUGUUUUUAAAGUUAUUCCUUCUUUAUUUUUUUAAUCACAGCAAUCCUCCCCUCAUCCAUGGUUUCAUUUUCUAUGGUUCCAGUUACUCAUGGUCAACCAUGGUCAGAAAACAGGACAAACUGAGAGUAAAAGAUGCAGGAAUAAAACACAGAAAUCAAAAUAAAGGGUUUACUGCUGAAAAAUCCGCUUGAACAAGCCUGUUAAUGUGAUCUUCCUGAAUGAAGCCAGCUUACCCCUAGGCCUCCACUGUCCCUCAGGAAAGAGAACACGAAAACUGGAACUCUCUGCAGAAAGGAGGAUCCCAAAGAAGGGGCCAAGCUGUACAUUUAUCAAUCAGGAAAGCCACUCCACCCUCCAUGGCAGCCCCUACAAUUUGAAACAAGUAUUCUUCCUAACAUAACACAUUAAUUCAUGAGUUUAUCAGUUCAUUUCAUUUUUACUUUGAGAUUUUUGUGAAUAACCAUAGAAAAAUCUAUUUCACCUGGCAAUAAAUAGGAAAAGGCACAGCAUAAUGUUUAAAUACAGAGAAUAUUGUUACAUGUAAGAUGUUGAUUGAAUGUUCUAAAUACAAUUUGAAAACUGCGUGAGAGGAGGAAAACGUAUAUUCAGAAGGACUUAGGUGAAUCCAGAUGAAUAUUUUCAUGACAGGAUGUUGGCUAUUGAUAUGAAGAAAGUAGAGGAAUAGACUUGCUAAAAGUUAGAGGAGUCUAGUUUAUCUUCCAAGAAGCUUUGCAACCCUGUAAUACUGUAGAAAUCACAAAUUUGGCAAUAAUUUUAAGAUAAUUUAUGUUCAUUUUUUAUGGAAUGCCAUGUUUAUCUUUUUAUAUAUGACAUUUUCUGGUCAGUAGUAAUAUAUAUAUCCUUUAUUAAAAUUGGAAAAUAAAUACAAACAUUUUAUUUAUUUAUUGGUUAAAAAAUUAUUAUGCUCAUUCUUUUUUUUUUUAACCAGUAAGGAUCUGGAUAAAGAAAAACAUUUUAGAAAACCACUUGUAGAGUACCAUGAACCAGUCUCUCUUCUCCAUUUUAAAAAAUUUAUUGACUCACUUUUUUUCCAUAACUUUUUGAGAUAUUAUUUCAACCACUUUGCAUUUAGAGAAAAAGAGUCAGAGAGUGAUUAAGAAAUCUGCCCAAUGCUAUACUGAUAGAAGCUGGGAGAACUGGGAUUUGAGCUUACAUAGGCUAGUUCUAGCAUUUGUGAAGUUCUCGCCUAAUAAAAAUUAUCUGUAAUCAUAACCAGAGCAAGUCAUUUCUAACCUCCUGUCUAUAGACACGCGGAUACAUUUGUAAUGUUUUUGUUUGUUUGUUUUUAGCACGACAGAUCAAUUCCUGCUGGCAUUAUAGUUCUUUAACUAUCAUAGCUUCUCUGAUUUUUCAACACAUCUGUCAUCCGUAUUCUGCAGGCAUAGCCAACUCUGUCAGUGUCUCCUCAGGCAAUCAGAAUCAACAGACAGAAUGUAGGACAGAAAACUGGCUGCAAACAUGUUGGAAGGGCUGGAGGAGCGAAAGAGGGAAGAUCUGUUACCUAGAGAUAGUAACUUCCAGAAGUUACCACUAUACUAGUGCAGGAGAAGCAGAAAGGAAGAUGCUGCUACCCAGAGCCCACAGUCAUUGUGCCCCUGAUGCCGCUGGAACCCCACUGCAGCUGCUUUACAGGAAGCAGGGAAUUAGCGCUCUUGCUGAUGCUACAGGUAUCCAGGAUCCAAAAGUCAUCAGCCGCUGUCCCUGUUGCAGCCUAGGGAAACUGUCCCACUGAGGUUGUUGGGGUACCUGCUACUGCAUCUACUGUCUGAACCAUGUUGCCUGAGCAGAUGUCCAGGGCUCAGGCUUGCCUGCUGCUGUUACUGCUGCCACCAUGUUUAUCAGAGCUACUUCAAGAAGAGAAGAAAUCCUCCUCAUUUCCAGUUUUUUCCAGUGCCUCCCAUUGCUUCCCAGAAUGCCAAAUUCUCUUUGAGAGACAGCUGAAAGGAAGGUUUGGAAAAGACUCUGGUGUAAGCAGAUUCUGCUUCCCUGCAAUAGGGGGAAAGCAUAGGGUGGAACUGGAGCUGAGAGCUAAUCACGAAUGAGCAAAUCAGUCUUCAAGACAUUUACCUUUCCUUGAAACGUUUCCCUUCUUUUACCGUGUUUUCCAUGUCAUUAUUUUUCCACAAUUCUGCAUCAUAUUCUGUUAACUAUUAAUGCCCUGGAUAAGUUUAUUUGCUCUUUCUUAGGGUUAAUUUUUCUCCUUUUCUUCGAAGCUUUAGUUUGCAGGUUCAGCUUGUGUGGGAAUUUUCAUCUCCCUCCUCUUCAAGACUCCUUGGAUAUCAGUUUUUUGGUUGCCUUCACCAACUCUCCCCCCACCAUCUCUAGACCAGGGCAUGGUCUUAGUUGGUGGCUUGGACUCCUGUGGCUUGGAGUCUUUGGGGAUAUUAGAGAUCCAGUCACUGAGCUGGCAAAGGGAACACUGUCCUUGCUUCCAGCUUUAUGAAGAACGCUUUGCUCUGUCACCCCACGUAAAUAAUCAUGUUAUUCAAGGAUAAUGAAUGCAGCCACCAUGUAAUCAUCACUGACUCCAUGGCCAUGAGAAAAGAGACCUAAGAAAUGAUGCCCAUCCAGAAGAGUGAAGACUUCCUGAAAAUGUUCUUUUAACCUAAGAUGUAGGUUAAGAGGAGUGAAAAAAUGUUCUGUUUCUGACUGAUGAUGGAGCAACAAAGGAACUCCUAAAGAAGAAAUCAUCCAUUCAGUGAGAGCAAAUGAACACUCCAACAGACUGAAACAAAGCAUCUUUACAGGAGAUGUGAAUGCGAGAAAGCAAAGAGAACUACAGUCAGGGUCUCCGCUGGCAUGGCCCAAGCCCACCGUGGCAUGAUCCAGAGAGACGAGUCAGCAGAGCACUAUGGGCAGCUCCCAUACUCUUCGCAGAUCAACAAGCCAGCAUAUAACCCAGGGAGAUAGAUAAUAGUGAUGCUGUGCUCUGUAGAGGGUAGUGGCAACAGUGGGAUUUCUUCUGGAAUAAAUCUGUAGUGAGCCAGAUGUUUCUGCUGACUAUAUUACUUCUGACAGUGUAUAAUCCAAAAUUGUUUCCUUGGCCUUCCAAAAAGUUUUAUAAGCUCCCUAACGGCUGCAAUAAAUCCCUUUCUUCUUAAACUAGCUAGAGUGGAUUUUUGUUCUCUACAAAACAGAUCCUGCCACUAAGAACCCCACUAGUAUUUGUUGCCAUGAUUAGGGAAUAAGUUAAACCACUGUAA
rnacentral:lncRNA from 10 species